CCUACGGGAGGCAGCAGUGAGGAAUAUUGGUCAAUGGACGAGAGUCUGAACCAGCCAAGUAGCGUGAAGGAUGACUGCCCUAUGGGUUGUAAACUUCUUUUAUAUGGGAAUAAAAUGUUCCACGUGUGGGAUUUUGUAUGUACCAUAUGAAUAAGGAUCGGCUAACUCCGUGCCAGCAGCCGCGGUAAUACGGAGGAUCCGAGCGUUGUCCGGAUUUAUUGGGUUUAAAGGGAGCGUAGGUGGAUUGUUAAGUCAGUUGUGAAAGUUUGCGGCUCAACCGUAAAAUUGCAGUUGAAACUGGCAGUCUUGAGUACAGUAGAGGUGGGCGGAAGUAGUGGUGUAGCGGUGAAAUGCUUAGAUAUCACGAAGAACUCCGAUUGCGAAGGCAGUUCACUGGACUGCAACUGACACUGAGGCUCGAAAGUGUGGGUAUCAAACAGGAUUAGAUACCCGGGUAGUC
rnacentral:rRNA from 1 species